UCCCUAGGGACGCAGCAGUGGGGAAUAUUGCACAAUGGGGGAAACCCUGAUGCAGCGACGCCGCGUGAGUGAAGAAGUAUUUCGGUAUGUAAAGCUCUAUCAGCAGGGAAGAAGAAGGACGGUACCUGAGUAAGAAGCCCCGGCUAACUACGUGCCAGCAGCCGCGGUAAUACGUAGGGGGCAAGCGUUAUCCGGAUUUACUGGGUGUAAAGGGAGCGUAGACGGUGAUGCAAGUCUGGAGUGAAAGGCGGGGGCCCAACCCCCGGACUGCUCUGGAAACUGUGUAACUUGAGUGCAGGAGAGGG
rnacentral:rRNA from 1 species